rnacentral:ncRNA from 1 species
GCCGACAGGUCGGGGAAACCCGUUGACCCCGGGUCGUGCUAGGGAUAGGGAAUUGCAAUUAUUUCCCUUGAACGAGGAAUUCCCAGUAAGCGCGAGUCAUUAGCUCGCGUUGAUUACGUCCCUGCCCUUUGUACACACCGCCCGUCGCUACUACCGAUUGAAUGGUUUAGUGAGGUCCUCCGAUUGGACCCGGUCCGGGCGGCGACGUCCGAGCCGGCGUCCGAGAAGACGAUCUAACUUGAUCAUUUAGAGGAAGUAAAAGUCGUAACAAGGUUUCCGUAGGUGAACCUGCGGAAGGAUCAUUA